GAUGAACGCUGGCGGCGUGCUUAACACAUGCAAGUCGAACGGGAAACCUUUUAUUGAAGCUUCGGCAGAUUUCGCUGGUUUCUAGUGGCGGACGGGUGAGUAACGCGUGGGUAACCUGCCCUAUACAGGGGGAUAACAACCAGAAAUGGUUGCUAAUACCGCAUAAGCGCACAGGGCCGCAUGGUCCGGUGUGAAAAACUCCGGUGGUAUAGGAUGGACCCGCGUUGGAUUAGCCAGUUGGCAGGGUAACGGCCUACCAAAGCGACGAUCCAUAGCCGGCAUGAGAGGGUGAACGGCCACAUUGGGACUGAGACACGGCCCAGACUCCUACGGGAGGCAGCAGUGGGGAAUAUUGCACAAUGGGGGAAACCCUGAUGCAGCGACGCCGCGUGAAGGAAGAAGUAUCUCGGUAUGUAAACUUCUAUCAGCAGGGAAGAUAGUGACGGUACCUGACUAAGAAGCCCCGGCUAACUACGUG
rnacentral:rRNA from 1 species